CUGAGUGAGGGCCUUCGGGCUCGACCUCCAACCCUUUGUGAACACCAACUUGUUGCUUCGGGGGCGACCCUGCCGUUUCGACGGCGAGCGCCCACGGAGACCAUCAAACACUGCAUCUUUGCGUCGGAGUUUAAGUAAAUUAAACA
rnacentral:misc_RNA from 1 species